rnacentral:lncRNA from 1 species
GGGAGUCGCCGGCAAGCUCGUGCGUUUCGUCGGAGGCAGAGGAGGUGGCUGCAAUGGCGAUGGUGGUGGCUGGGUGCCCCCAGUGCCUCAUGUACGUGAUGCUCGCCGUGUCCAAGGAAGAGAUGAAGCAGCAGCCCAGAUGCCCCAGAUGCAACACCCCCGUGCUGCUGCACUUUCACAAUCUAAACACAACCUAGCUGCUGCUGCUUCUGCUUCUUCUUCUUCCAUCCAACCUUCCUUAUGUAAUCAACAACCAGUAAAAGAAUUGCUCGAUUCAUGCAUGCAUGCAUGUAUGCCUCUUCCUCUUGUUUCUUCUUGUUGGAUCAUCUCAUCUGUAAGCUGCUUGCUAUUCAAAAGCUUAUCCUUGAGCAAGGUAUACAAUGUGAUUAUAUGAUUAUCGUGUACGUGAUACUGUACACAUUCAACCACAGGUUACUAAGCCUGACCAGGGGAUAUUGAUCUUGUUAUUGUACCUUGUGUUGGAUACAUAGAUAGGUCAUCAGUUUAACCUCAGUAAUUAAAUAAAUCUAUAUGCUGCGAUUGUGAGACA